GUGUAACAACUCACCUGCCGAAUGAACUAGCCCUGAAAAUGGAUGGCGCUGAAGCGAACCACUUAUACUCAACCACUAGGCCAAGUGCCAAGGCCUAGUGAGUAGGAGGGCGUGAAGGUUGUUGCGCAGCUUAUACCGUGAGGUUAAGUGAAACGGCCUUUAGUGCAGAUCUUGGUGGUAGUAGC
rnacentral:rRNA from 1 species